GAUGAACGCUGGCGGCGUGCCUAAUACAUGCAAGUCGAGCGAACAGACGAGGAGCUUGCUCCUCUGACGUUAGCGGCGGACGGGUGAGUAACACGUGGAUAACCUACCUAUAAGACUGGGAUAACUUCGGGAAACCGGAGCUAAUACCGGAUAACAUGUUGAACCGCAUGGUUCAACAGUGAAAGACGGUCUUGCUGUCACUUAUAGAUGGAUCCGCGCCGCAUUAGCUAGUUGGUAAGGUAACGGCUUACCAAGGCAACGAUGCGUAGCCGACCUGAGAGGGUGAUCGGCCACACUGGAACUGAGACACGGUCCAGACUCCUACGGGAGGCAGCAGUAGGGAAUCUUCCGCAAUGGGCGAAAGCCUGACGGAGCAACGCCGGGUGAGUGAAGAAGGUCUUCGGAUCGUAAAACUCUGUUAUUAGGGAAGAACAAAUGUGUAAGUAACUAUGCACGUCUUGACGGUACCUAAUCAGAAAGCCACGGCUAACUACGUG
rnacentral:rRNA from 1 species